UACGUAGGGUGCGAGCGUUGUCCGGAAUUAUUGGGCGUAAAGGGCUCGUAGGCGGUUUGUCGCGUCGGGAGUGAAAGCACCGGGCUUAACUCGGUGCUUGCUUUCGAUACGGGCAGACUAGAGGCAUGCAGGGGAGAACGGAAUUCCUGGUGUAGCGGUGAAAUGCGCAGAUAUCAGGAGGGACACCGGUGGCGAAGGCGGCAUCCUGGACCAAUUCUGACGCUGAGUGAGCGAAAGCCAGGGGAGCAAACGGG
rnacentral:rRNA from 1 species